CAGAAGGAGCCGAUGUGCGGUGCUAAUAAAGUAUCUGUAAAUCUCAACACGUAUUAUUAGAAUUAAAGGAGUAAUUUUAUUUUGAUUAAAUUGUUUGCAUACUUUUCAAUUGAUUCAAUUCAUAAUGGAGUUCAUUGCUUUAAUGAUUGCCAUUACAGCAAUACUAAUUGGAUUAUUUUGUGGAAUAGUAAACAAUUUUUUAAAUAAAUUAUACAUAUAUAAUACGAUCAAAGGAUUCCCGGGCCCAAAAGCAUAUCCAAUUAUCGGAAAUGCUCAUUUGUUUAUCGGUAAUAUCGGAGACAUAACUAACCAAAUUCUAAAGAUAAGUAAAAAUUACCAAUCAAUAUUUCGUCUAUGGUUAGGUAUGCAAUUGUUUAUUGUAAUAAACAAUUCUGAAUGUAUCAAGAAUAUAUUGAAGAGUCCAAAUGUUACUGAACAAAUCGGAGGGUAUAGAAUCUUGAAACCUGCUUUGCGCAAUGGAGUGCUGACUGCUCCAAACGAAAUAUAUGUAUCCUCCAUUAUUUUUUAAUAUAUAAGAAAUUAUGUUACUACUAUACAUAUAUUUUUUCACGAUGAAAUUUUAUGAAAUUGAAUGAUAAGAUUUUUUUUCUUCUUUACAGAUAGAUUCUGUUGGACCGAUCUCAAUAAAAAUUAAAUACUUUCGUGGACCUUAGCCUAUUCAAGAAGAGGGAUAUUUCUUUAUCGAAAUAUUAUAAUAUUAAGACAUUACCAAUCUCAUCAAAUUUGUAGUACAUGGCUACAAUUCUUAUUAUGAAUUAAAUGCUCGUACUGCUCUAUCCCCUUUAAAUCUCGUCGUAUUUAGUAUUGUAAGCUUCAAAGUCUCAUUACGAACUGAAUAUUCUUAUUGCUCCUUCAGUCAGUGUUCAUUUACCUUGUUAGAUAUAGCAAAUUCAAUUAAAAGAGCAUUAGUACCUUGCUCCAUGAUAUGCCGGACGUAGGGAAAGAGUUAAUUAAUAGGAGAAAACAAAGAAUAUUUAUAAGAAAGCAUUCUUGAAAUUUAAAUAAUCUAUACAAAUAUUAAUUUAUAAAAAUUUCGAAAUUAGCAAUAAGAGUAAUUUUCAAGGACUGAUUAACUACUUAUUCGUUAUAUCAAACUAUAUAAAAUAAUGAAAUUCUAUUGGAUGAUUUUUAUAC